rnacentral:rRNA from 1 species
GACGAACGCUGGCGGCGUGCUUAACACAUGCAAGUCGAACGGAAAGGCCCUGCUUUUGUGGGGUGCUCGAGUGGCGAACGGGUGAGUAACACGUGAGUAACCUGCCCUUGACUUUGGGAUAACUUCAGGAAACUGGGGCUAAUACCGGAUAGGAGCUCCUGCUGCAUGGUGGGGGUUGGAAAGUUUCGGCGGUUGGGGAUGGACUCGCGGCUUAUCAGCUUGUUGGUGGGGUAGUGGCUUACCAAGGCUUUGACGGGUAGCCGGCCUGAGAGGGUGACCGGCCACAGUGGGGCAGAGAUACGCGGCCGACACCCCGGGGGGGGGGAGGAGGGGAAAAUUGUACAAAGGGGGGGGAACUGUGGCGGCGACGCCGCGGGGGGGAUAUGGCGCCCCGGGGUGUAAACCGCGUUCGCGGGUGAGACGGGGCGAGUGAGGGUGUUGGGGAAGAAGAACCCGGUAAAAACGU